rnacentral:rRNA from 1 species
AUUGAACGCUGGCGGCAUGCUUUACACAUGCAAGUCGAACGGCAGCACGGGCUUCGGCCUGGUGGCGAGUGGCGAACGGGUGAGUAAUGCAUCGGAACGUACCGUGUAGUGGGGGAUAACGUAGCGAAAGUUACGCUAAUACCGCAUACGCCCCGAGGGGGAAAGUGGGGGACCGCAAGGCCUCACGCUAUAUGAGCGGCCGAUGUCGGAUUAGCUAGUUGGUAGGGUAAAGGCCUACCAAGGCGACGAUCCGUAGCGGGUCUGAGAGGAUGAUCCGCCACACUGGGACUGAGACACGGCCCAGACUCCUACGGGAGGCAGCAGUGGGGAAUUUUGGACAAUGGGCGCAAGCCUGAUCCAGCCAUGCCGCGUGAGUGAAGAAGGCCUUCGGGUUGUAAAGCUCUUUCAGACGGAAAGAAAUCUCUCAGGAUAAUACCUUGGGAGGAUGACGGUACCGUAAGAAGAAGCACCGGCUAACUACGUGCCAGCCGCCGCCGUAA